CUGGUUUGAUCACGAGGCAACGAGGAGUGUAAUGAAGAGGGAGCUCACGAACACAUCAAGGGGAAUGGCUACUCACUCGACAAUAGAGAAGAGAGAAUCCUAUUUUGCUCUAGACUUUCUCUACUCCAUUCACUCCCAACACCUCACCAUCGCAGUUGAGCGUUGAAGAUCCACCACCAACACCGAACCAUUUCAGGAGAGAGCUCUUGAUACCAGGACCUCCAGCACUAACGCCAUUCAUCUUAUCACAACAACCAUAGUAAGGGAGUCUUCAAGAGGAGACCUCAC
rnacentral:lncRNA from 1 species